AUGCGUUCUCCCUCUCCCCUCCAGCUCCCACCCCCACCCUCUCACUCCCCGCCCCCUCGCCGGGGGGGGGGGGGGGGGGCGGGAGUGGGUUUGGAGCAUCUCUUCUGUCAGACCUGUGAGAGCUGGGACGGCUUGCUUCCGAGCGCAUCCCGAGUGCAACCAUCUUUCUCAGGACCUGAGGGGUCAGGAACCACCUCCAGCCCCUCACUCAGCCGCCUUUGUGGAGACAGUCCUGGGUGCCGGUGUCCGCGCCGGGCGGGAAGCGGGCUGCUGUCCCGAGAGGCGGGAGUGGAGUGACUCCAGGAACUGGACGAGUGGGACUGGCCACAGUCAGGGGACAGUUUAGGGGUCUGGUGUUCACAUCCCUUC
rnacentral:lncRNA from 1 species